GCAGCGAGGGCACCGGGGCUUCUUCAGUGGCCUGACAAGCAACUCUCCUUCGAGAUGCGCCCUUUUCAGGGUGAUGAAUGUAAGAUCUAUAAUCACGUUACCCUUGUUCUAUUUCAGACCAGGUGGAUGCAACCCUUAUUCCUAUUACAAAUUUCAGCUGUGGAUAUUUGCUGGUAUUCUGGCUUCACUGGUAACUCAACCUGCAGAUGUUAUCAAAACCAUAUGCAGCUUUACCCACUGAAGUUUCAAUGGAUUGGCCAGUGACAUUUAUUUUCACCAUAGGACUAUGGACUACGUGGCUUCUUCCAAGGUAGCAUCCCCCGAGCCCUCCCGCAGAACUCUGAUGGCAGCAAUGGCGUGGACAGUGUAUGAAGAGAUGAUGGCCAAAAUGGGCCUGAAGUCCUGACCAAGAGAGGCCUGGGAAAUGGUGACAUCUGUUACCCUGCGUGCUUGGUUUCUGCGAGGGCUGCUGCUUCUGACUACG
rnacentral:lncRNA from 1 species